rnacentral:rRNA from 1 species
AAUUGCCCGAAUCCUGACACAGGGAGGUAGUGACAAGAAAUAACGAUACAGGGCUACAUCUAGUCUUGUAAUUGGAAUGAGUACAAUUUACAUCUCUUAACGAUGAUCAAUUGGAGGGCAAGUCUGGUGCCAGCAGCCGCGGUAAUUCCAGCUCCAAUAGCGUAUAUUAAAGUUGUUGCAGUUAGAACGCUCGUAGUCGGAUUUCGGGGCAGUCCGACCGGUCUGCCGAUGGGUAUGCACUGGCCGGAGUGUCCUUUUUGCCGGAGACCGUGCCUACUCUUAACUGAGCGGGGGCGGGAGACGGCACCUUUACUUUGAAAAAAUCAGAGUGUUUCAAGCAGGCAGCUCGCUCUUGCAUGGAUUAGCAUGGGAUAAUGAAAUAGGACUUUGGUGCUAUUUUGUUGGUUUCGAACACCGAAGUAAUGAUGAGAAGGGACAGUCAGGGGCACUCGUAUUCCGCAGAGAGAGGUGAAAUUCUCAGACCCGCGGAAGACGAACCACUGCGAAAGCAUUUGCCAGGGAUGUUUUCACUGAUCAAGAACGAAAGUUAGGGGAUCGAAGAUGAUCAGAUACCGUCGUAGUCUUAACCAUAAACCAUGCCGACUAGGGAUUGGAGGAUGUUCACUGAUUGACUCCUUCAGCACCUUACGGGAAACUAAAGUCUUUGGGUUCCGGGGGGAGUAUGGUCGCAAGGCUGAAACUUAAAGGAAUUGACGGAAGGGCACCACCAGGUGUGGAGCCUGCGGCUUAA